UCUGUGAAGACUUUCACUUUUGUCUUUUGGACGGUCGUCUGCGUCUUUUUGUCUCUACUGUUGGCCGCUGGUGAUCAUGUAAAUGUUUUUUAAG